CAUGGCCUUUUGUUAUUUAUAUAAGGUCUAACCUGCCCAAUGAUAGUUUAUUAAAUGGCCGCGGUAUUUUGACCGUGCAAAGGUAGCAUAAUCAUUAGUUUUUUAAUUGAAAGCUGGAAUGAAAGGUUGAAUGAGAAAAUAACUGUCUUUAUUGUAUUUAAUUAGAACUUUAUCUUUAAGUUAAAAAGCUUAAAUUUAAUUUAAAGACGAGAAGACCCUUUAGAGUUUUAUAAAAUAUUAAUCUUUGAUUUUUUAGAAUUUAUUAUAAUAAGGUUAGAUUUUAUUUGAUUGGGGCGAUUAAAAAAUUUAAGGAACUUUUUUUCUUAUUUAACAUUAAUUUAUGAUUAUUUGAUCCUUAAGUUAAGAUUAUAAGAUUAAAUUACCUAAGGGAUAACAGCGUUAUUUUUUUUGAGAGUUCUUAUCGAAAGAAAAGAUUGCGACCUCGAUGUUGGAUUAAAAUUAAAUUGUGGUGUAGAGGCUAUAACCUUA
rnacentral:rRNA from 1 species